CUAUUUUUCUUCGAAGCAGUAUUGCUUUGUUCAUGUUCAAUUGAAAAAAAGUAUUAUCGCGAACAAAAGAAAUAACGAAGAACUGAUCCAUCCUAAAUUGUACAAUACGAAUACAGGAAGUGACAAUGAUUCCAAUAGGGCUGACCAGGAAAUCCGAGGUUGUAAUGAACGUGGCAACGAGCAUACACACCCGCUUUGGUCAUGCCUUUACUUUUUGCCGGUUGCACGCUUAACGGUACCUUCGCGGCCUCGUGGUCCAGUUCACCACGUGCUUCUAACAGAGUCGGCAAUUCCAGAAGUCGUUUCAAGAGAUCUGAAGCUACCAAUAGUCGAAUAGCUUCACGAUAGGAAGUAAUCUUCUCCCUUGCUAAUGAGCAUAGAUUUCUUGUUGUUACCAAAAGCCAACAAAAAUUAGCUUUUCGUUUCUGUAUCGUUUAUUGCAUACUACUAAACAAAAAAAA
rnacentral:misc_RNA from 1 species